CAGUGGGACAUACCCAUCCUGGAGGACUGGGACUGGCCGAGAGCGGGCACACAGCCAGUGGCCGACACACUGGCCCAUGCAGGAGCGGGCCAGUGCAUCCACAUCCACAUUGAAAUCACCGACAACGACAACAGGGGUAGUGUGAUCGCAGCUAAUUCACGCAAAACGGGGCAACUGUCUCGAGGCAAUGAAGAUCAGCAGUGACUGUUGGGAAGAGGCAGUAUUCUCGAGGACCCCAAAAUGACACUCAUUCUAAUUACGGCGACGUCAAAUGAUAUGACGUUGACUGGGCGCUCGAGAGUGAAGUCUUCGAAUCGUUGUGAUUUCUCUAGGGAUCACUUACAGGACUGACACCCGAAAUACUCAUGAAUAGGAUUAGAUAUACAAAGCACAAAACUAUUAGAGAGUACGUAAACGCAGUGCAGCUUACGGAAUGCUGGAGCACUGCGGUUCCCAAGAUGUGCGCAGCAGCGCUGCGAGCGCCAUGAGGCGACGCUGACGUUAAGUAAAUCACAAAGAAAUGUAAUUGCGACGACCAUGUUCUACUUAUCUGCUGGUUCAAAGGCAUUGGCAGAAACAAUUAUUAGCGUAUAACGGUUUCUUCUUUUUUUAUUCAGCGCGCAAAAUACGUAACAGAGAACGUUCCUGGUUCUCUCUUGUCUCAGAGAGUGAAAUUAAGCAUGGAAAGCAGCACACAGAAAUGUCACGCAAAUUCUACUCCGGCUUGUAGUUCUGAAAUUACGAUUUUGCCACGCUGUCAGCGCUAUCGUGUGUGCUUCCUUUUUGCUAUAAGCGUUUUGCUUCUAGUCAAUACCAAAACGCAAUCUAAAUGUCAGAUCGUUCUUACGCCACAAUUGUUGUAGCCGCGACAAGAGAGACUGACCCGUGGACUUUUGCCAUAUUCAAGGAACAUUCACAUGAUGGAAAUUCUCCAGCGAUUUAGUGCACGUUGGGAUACACUUCUGCCAAUAGCCAGCGAAAUAACGGGCGUUGGACACGGUGUUCUCGACGACAACAUUAAUAUGCAUUUAUAACCUGUGCCACGUGGAAGGCAAUUACAAAACGACGCAAGCUUUGGGGAUGGACAACUGGAACGCUAGUCAUU